AUGAACGCUGGCGGCGUGCCUAAUACAUGCAAGUCGAGCGAACGGACGAGAAGCUUGCUUUUCUGAUGUUAGCGGCGGACGGGUGAGUAACACGUGGAUAACCUACCUAUAAGACUGGGAUAACUUCGGGAAACCGGAGCUAAUACCGGAUAAUAUUUUGAACCGCAUGGUUCAAAAGUGAAAGACGGUCUUGCUGUCACUUAUAGCUGGAUCCGCGCUGCAUUAGCUAGUUGGUAAGGUAACGGCUUACCAAGGCGACGAUGCAUAGCCGACCUGAGAGGGUGAUCGGCCACACGGGAACUGAGACGCGGUCCAGACUCCUACGGGAGGCAGCAGUAGGGAAUCUUCCGCAAUGGGCGAAAGCCUGACGGAGCAACGCCGCGUGAGUGAUGAAGGUCUUCGGAUCGUAAAACUCUGUUAUUAGGGAAGAACAUAUGUGUAAGUAACUGUGCACAUCUUGACGGUACCUAAUCAGAAAGCCACGGCUAACUACGUG
rnacentral:rRNA from 1 species